rnacentral:tRNA from 1 species
ACCUGGCUGGCUGAAUUGGAAGAGCAUGCGACUCGUGAUUUCAGGGUUGUGAGUUCAAGCCCCAUGCUGGGUG